CCAGGAGCUUCACUAAGGCCCAUUCAUUCCCAGAAAUUCUCUGGCGGGCGAGGAGCAGAAGCAGAGCUUGGGACAUGCAGGCGGCUGCAGGCCAUUCCCCCUGCUCUCGGUUAGUCAGCAUUUUGCUCAGGGUGCAGUGACCCCAGGCAGCCAUGGGAAUACAGGACGCAGCCUUUCUGCGCAGCCCGGACCAGAGAGCGCCCCCCGCCUCCCAGCCACAUGAGCGUGCUCUCGCAGCUGACUAGCCAUAGCCAUGCAGUGUGGGCACAGACACCCAAGUCUAAAACCCAACUCGUCUCCUGAACUGAACUGGCUCCUUGCUCUGCAGCUCGGCGCAUCUCAACACUGUCCGCUUCGGCUGGAGUUUCCUCACCGCCCUGUCUCUCUCCUUCCACACCCACACGCACACCCUUGUGCUUGGAACCUGCCGCCCACCCACACUUUGGGGCAGAAGCCCUGGGCCCCACCCGAAUCUUUAGGAUGCCAUGUGUUUCGGCCUGCAGGGAUUCUCCAGAGCCCAGCCAAGGCUCCUCUGCCCUCCCGGGGGGACCCCGGAGCUCUGCGAACACCAGGCUUCCUCUGUCCCCCUCCGAGGGUGAGCGUGCGCCCUUCCUCCCACCCAGCUUCCCUGCGGGACUCACUCCGGUUGCUCCCGUGGCCAGUGGUGUCCCAAUUUACCUCUUCCCCAGCUGCCUUCCCUCCCUUCUUUGCAACAUGUCCAGCCCCUGAGCUCUGUUCUCUGCACCACCUUCCCUUCCAGCCUCAUGAAAUGCGAGGAGCUCCAUGUGCUGCAUCUAAACACUCACAUUUUAGGACUCAACUCUGAGUUUCUCACUUGUUCACCUGCACGCUCCUGGCAUCAUUCAUUCACCUCUACUCAAUGCAGUCUGACUUCAGAUUAACUCUCCACUCCCUUCCUAGAUAGGAGGCUCUGUGAACGUCAGCCCUUUGAUUCUAUUCCUUUGCUCCCAAUAGAAUGUGGCACAUGAUAAGUGACAUAGAACUCCUGGAUAAAUGACCAAAUCCCUAACACCAAACCCCACUGAAGCAGGGAUUCACAUCUCUCCUAGGAUCUACAAAUAUUCGUUCUAUCCCCUCUCUUUACCUUACUCCAGUUAUUUUCCUUAGAAUAAGACAAAAAUUUCGACCGCAAGAGGCAGCAGUCACCAAAGUUACAUGUAUUUUUAAUAUUAUCCCUUUAUUUCCUACAGGUGCAUUGCUAAAAGAUACGUAGAUGUCACAGCCCUUGAUGGAGAUGAGGGUCUUCCGUUGCCCAGUGGCACCGGCCCUAGCUGCCCCCUCACCACUGUCGAGUCCAGAGAAUCACAUGCUCGGCAGUGAGGCCAGCAGGCACAGCCACAGCGUUCCGCCGGGUGCAGGGAACAUGGCUUCUAAAUCACCUGUCACAUCACUUAAUCAGCGUAGAGAAAAUAAGAAGACGCUUGAGAUGGUGUCAACUGGAAAUGAGGAUAAGAAGCCUUUACAAUGAAAAAUUUACAUUGAUUUACUGUCUCCAGCCAACCCUGUGUUGCUGCAAAGCCUCCAGCCUACUUGCUUUGCCACACUGCAAAGGAGGUUGGACACUGAUCCCCCUACUUGACUACAGAAAGUCCUGGAAGUCAUGACCCACGUAUGUUGCAUUCUUUCACUCACCAAUUUUCUGGAACAGAAUACGCAUGCAUUGUUUCUUUGCAAGGGCAGCUCAAGUCAGUGGCUCAAGAUGUGGUCUGAAGUAUAAGAGUGGCCCAGAGUAUUCUAGAAAUGAGUUUGUCAUAUCCUGGGUGUUUGAAGCAUGGUGAAAUGUACCCCUUAUUCAUUCCAUGAAUCAGCCAUUUGUUGGCCUUAGGAUUCUACCUGCCUAUCCGUUCAGCCUGGGCUGUUCUGGGGCUCCCAUUCAUUCUGUCCAUCCACCAUAUCCCAGCAGUGACUAAGAGGAGGUAAGGGGCCAUAGCUAGUGACAGGGUGAAGGUGACUUUGGUGCUAGCCAUGACUCAUACCCUGACGCUGUUUUUUAAGGAAGAACUGAGGACAGAAGACCAGGGCUGGCCAUGCCUCCCAGUGGAAAGAAAGAUUGGCACAUCACAAACACCAAAUAUCUGGCCUGCAAUGUACCACGGUACUGGAUUCUGAGGAAUAUACCUCACAGAGAACACAGUAGGGAAAGGCAGGCCUUGAAGCAUGAGCUGAUCAUUUCUGCUCACCCAGUCAGCUGGGCUGGCGUUCCCGGGGACCUUGGGGCCGCCGAUGGAGGAGCUGAGGACUCAGUCUGGAAGCAUGACCUCGCACCCCACCUUUGCCUCCCAUAUGGGCUCCACCCAAGUUCACACUUGCUCACUCAAGGCCUUCCUCUGGCCACAACACAGCCUGGUUUCCGAAAAGAAGCCAUCAUCUGAAUGCUGACCCACAUACUCCUAACAGGUCAGUGAUGUGCAUUCCAGAUGAUCUGCAACCUGGUGACCUAUGCUAUCACCUGGGUCGACCUUCUGGUGGUUGGCGGCCUCAGCAACUCUACAAACUCCCAGCUGUGCCUCCGAGAGAUCAUGGUCAGAUUCACAUCCUCAACCUCUCCUUUCAGUGGGUCCUGUACUUACACUCCAACUGCAAGCAGCUUCUCCCUUAAGGACACACUUUCCCUUUGGUCAACUUAAGUGGUGCCAUUUUUUCCCCAUCGUCCUUUACCCCGGGCUUGAAUGUGGACAGCGUGUCUUUUUGUUCUUCAUUAUGACUUCAUGACCACCAACUCUCCUUCCUCACUAACCCCCCGACUUUGAAGCCCAUUUCCAAGACCAUAGCUCCUUUCUGCUCUUCUUCAUGUAAUUAUUUGUGUGUUCCCCAUUAUUCCUUUGAGGUGUGCGUCUGGCUUUCUGUCUUCUAUCCAUCCAUCUGUUACCACAGUUGAUGACCUCAGGGCUCAUGCAAACCUUAGCACAUGUGCCCGAGCCCCUCCUUUCCUCCUCAACCUGGCAAUACUCGUUCCUGCCAUGUCUCCUCAGAAAUGCCCUUCCACCAUUAUAUUCUAGAUAUAGAAUCUAGAUCUAUAACAACAGCAAUGUUUCCUUCAAAAUCUCAGCUAUGAACAUCUUACUCUCUGACCAGAACUUGCUGGUGUUCUAGACCACUUCCUGUAGUUGGGCCACUGCAAAAUGACUUACUCCAUGAAGCCCUCUGAAGCAUUCACCAACAUGCCUCCAUUUUCCUGAUCAUAUAACCACUUUCCUUCUUUCUGACUUAGAUAUCUUGUUCCCACACAGUAAGAGGUUUUAAAAAUUCCACUGACUAUCUUUGCUAUUUCUAGUAUUUCAAAGUGGUUAUUUUUUAUGCACACGUGUAUCUAGCACUUUCCUUCAUAAUUACUUACUUUUGUAGUGCACACCCAACUUUGUUUACUCUCUCCAGAGAUAUGAACGUAUAUAUGUGAUAGCCAUCCUAGGACUUCAAGGUGAGGAGGGAACUCUAAAUUGCUGGGUGUUCCUGGUUAAUCUUCAAUUCGGCUGUGGGUCUAGAAAAUUUGGUUUGCAAAUGCAUAUUGGGUAGGAAGGCUUCAUUCUUUCUCUGUCAUGGCUGUUUGGCCGAAUUUACUGUUAAUCUCACCGCCCAACACCCAGGCCCUAACAAGUGGCAGGCUCAGCUUGGAUUCCAUCCCUGUAGUGAUAUCAUCGUUUCAUCUAAAACCAAGUUUUUAAGGCUGUGUGCUGGGACAGGCCAUGAAGAAACACAUGUCCACCACCCGCCGAGCCUACUUCCAGGCCAUGUGUGUGCAGUUAGCCUGGCUCUAGUCCUCCCACGCACAGAGGGUGUCCCACCCAACCCCCACCCCAAUCCCAACCCCCACCCCAACCCCAACCCUGUCCACAACUGAAUCUCAGCCCUAACCUUAACUCUAACCUCAACCCCAACCCUAAUCCUAACCCCAAACUCAACAUUAUUCCCAACCCUAAUGCCAACCCCAGACCCAACCCUAACCCCAACCCCAACCUCAACAAACUGAGAAACAGCUCUGAUCACCGUCCUGCCACACAAGUGAAGACGAAAGUGGAACGUGAGUCUUUGCUGCUGGUGACAGGGUGCUUUGUCCCUGAUGUGGGGCACUGUUGUCAUCAUCCAUGUAACUACUAAGCCGAGAGCUAUAAAAGCAGUUUGCGUAAAAAGAGGUUGUGUUGCUUAAUAUGGAAGGUUCCUGCCGGUUAACGUGGAAGAUUUUUCCUGUUGCAGAGAGAUUUAGGGAUUCAAAAAUAGAACGCAUUCAGUUUUAAAUUGUUCUGAAUGCUCUAAAAACAUCCCCUUUAAAAUGUCAUCAGGUGUGCAUUUUGGAGCAAACAAUAAACAACACCGAAAAAGGCGGAUGUUUCCCGGGAAACUGAAGUUGAUAUCACUUGUCUGUUAUCAGUUGCUAUUUAUGUCAGGUUAGAAGCUUCUUCUUCUUUAUCUGUGUUUGAAUAUCCACCCACAAUCCAGCU